GUGCUCGCUUCAACAGCACAUAUACUAAAAUUGAAAUGAUACAGAGAAGAUUAGCAUGGCUCCUGUGCAAGGAUGACACAAAAAUUCAUGAAGCAUUUCAUAUUUUU